rnacentral:lncRNA from 1 species
AGAGGACGACCAAGGCGAAGACACAUUUUUCAGAUUGAGUGAGGGAUUAGACCUCGGGCUGGGGAAUGUAAGUAAUGAGGGACAUAAUCAGCAGAAUGUAAACGUAAAUGCAGUAAACAGUGGUUCAGACUACGGGGACUCGGAUGACCUGAGAAGUAUGUCAAGUGGUAAUGAAGCAGGUGCCACAAGUAAAAGCAGAAAGGAAGUUUGGUUCAACCCUUCAAUUAUCAUGGAGGACCCUAAAUUCCAGAUUUUUUAGUGAACUACAGACUGGUUUACCUAUUUGGGGACCUCAAACGUUUAUGUGUCAUAGAUUUAGGGCCCCUAAUGCUUAUUUUUAAAAUGUUUG